CACUCCAAGAUGUUAAUUAGCUGUUCAUUAAUGUCAGCUCCCCGUUCAAAGGAGAAAUAUGCACGGCCUGCCUGGUCUGAGCUCAUCGGGAGCUGAGCGAGAAGGGCGGCUGCCCAGUGGCUGCCCAGUCUGCUGGCCUCCCUCCUGCCUGCCAGCUCCCCCUUUGUCUCCCUCCUAUGCCAGUUCUAAGCACACCAAUUGCCAGGGAGACCCUGCACUCAGGAAGGAGGAGCUGGGCUGGGACCCAAUAUGCAGAAGGUCUGGGAGACCUGGGUAAAUCUGCUCACAGAUACUCAGUGCACAGAGGCCCCUACCCUGACUCUCACCAUAGCCUGGAUCUGAUGGAAACCAGCCUUUCUUCCUUCAAGCUAGCCUCAAACUCAGAGAUCUGCCAAUUUUAUUUAUUUUAUUUGUUUAAGUUCUCGCUUGCAUUUAUAUCUGGGCAUCACUGUGUACCUGCUGCCCACAGGGACAGAAAAGGGCAUCUGAUCCCCUGGAACUGGAGUUACAGAAGGUUGUCAGCCUUCAGGUGACGAGAAGUAAACCUGGGACCUUUGUAUAAAGAGCCAAUGUUCUUAAACACUGAGCUAUCUCUCCAGCCAGCCACUCCUCUUGACUUUUCCUUCCUUCCUUCCUUCCUUCCUUCCUUCCUUCCUUCCUCCCUCCCUCCCUCUCUCCCUUCCCUCUCUCUCCUCAUUCCUCUCCCUCCUCCUUUUCCUCCACCCGUCCACCUAUCCAUCAUCCAUCCAUCCAUCUACCCACCCCAUACAUCCAUCUAUCCAUCUAUCUACCCAUCCACCCACCCAUCCAUUCACCUACCCACCCAUCCAUCCUUCCAUCCACUGUAACAAUGUUAUAGCUCUCAUAUGCAUGCACACAUAUCUUUUUUGUACCCAUCAGCUUAUCCAGUCUUAAGUCUGUCUAUUCAUCUAUUAGUUGGUCCAUCAUCAUGCAUCCUUCCAUCUGUCUGUCUGCCCGCCUACCUCUAUAUUCAAACAUACUGCUUGAGCAGCCCGAACACCCUGGUCUCAGGUAGCAAUUCCCAAGGGUCGCAUGCAAGUUAUGACCACAGUGCACAUUACAGUUCCAGUGAACUCCUGCCCUUCCUUCAAGGCUACCCACACACCUUUAGCUGGGGAUGCGGAAGUAUGGAGCUAAGAGGCACACACAAACACAGAAGCCCAAAGAUGGCUUCCUGGAGGAGGUGUCAUUGAGACUGGACUGGGAAGGGGAACGAGGCCGGUGAGGCUCCCCGUGUGCACUUUGCUGCCUGCAGGAAGCUCCUUAGGGAGUAAAGACUCUAGGGUCCUUUCUGACAAGACGCAGCAUCGCUCUGAGGUAUGAGUGGACUUCGCCAUGUUUGGGAGGCAAAGAGUUAACUUGAGCUUACCUAAUUUUUUUCCCCAGUGACCAAGGGCAACCAGUGGCUCCUGGUUGCUGCUUGGACCCAAAGCCUGUCACAGUCUCUCAGGAUUCCCCAACAGCUGUUGCCUGGCAGAGAGGGCUGGUCCAAGCAGGAAUCCUAAUCCUCUGGAGUCCUCUGGAGUCCGGCUCCUCCCCCCCCCCCAUCUCUGUCUGAGGGUGGGGACUGGGGAGCAGUCCUCUGGGAUAGAGGUCUCUGCGGGUGCUGGAACCAGUUAGACAGCAGGCCACACGGCGCGUGGCAGGCAUUCUGGGAGUCUGUCCAGGCUCUGGUCUGGAGGCCAGUGUGCCCUGCCCUAGGACUGGUCUCUACUGCCAACACAGCUCUGUCAUCACUUUGGCCUGCUCUGGGAUGGUGAUACCCACCUCCAGCUCAGUGACCCAAUCAGCCUAAGGUCAAGCUCUGGACAUUCCCAGGGGACAAGAUGUUAGGAGUCAGAAAGAUGUGGGAUUGGUCACACCUCGGCCAGGCCACAAAGGGGUUCUGAGACCUCAGUUGAGUCAUUUCUAGCCUAGUGAAAUACGAUCCCGGCCACACCCACUUCCGCUCCUCUAUGAUCCCGGCCACACCCACUUCCGCUCCUCUAUGAUCCCGGCCACACCUAUUCUGCUCCUCAGCCGGUCCUCUCUUCCUUUUGCUCAGUGAUGCUUUCAAAUAGUCCAGGCUCUUUUAAACUGCCACGAUAGCUGAGGCUGGUCUUUGGAGUGCUGGGAUUAUAGAUGAGAGCCAUGCUGCCCAGCCUUAUAUUUCUUUACUUUUUAGGUUACAUUAUUCUGCUAUGGGUAGUCUUGGCUGAGACGGUGGCUCACACAGCAAAGUGUGUUCCACGAGAGCGAGAGAACCUGAGCUCAGACCCCAACACUCACAUGGGAAGCUGGGUGCGGUGGCUUGUGUCUCUAAUCUCAGCACUGUGGAGGAGACAGAUGCAUUUCUGGGGCUUGCUGGCCAGCCAGCCUAGUUGAAUUGGCGUGGUUCAAUGGAAGAUCUCGUCUCAAAAAGAAAGAUGGAGAUCAAUUAAGAAAGAUGGGGGCUGGGGAUUUAGCUCAGUGGUAGAGCGCUUACCUAGGAAGCGCAAGGCCCUGGGUUCGGUCCCCAGCUCCGAAAAAAAGAAAAAAAAAAAAAAAAAAGAAAGAAAGAUGGGCAAUGACAACUUCUAACCCCCCUCAUUCCUAUGUGUAUACACAUACAUGCCCACGUGUGUACACCCACAUAAGCAUACAUUUAUGCGGGUGCACACACACACAGAGUGUUGAAUUUAUGCUAUUUUUAACCCUGAGUGGCCGCCUAUCACACAAGGAUAUUACUCAUUCAAAUUUACUACAGUCCUGUAACUGGUACACAGCUGGUGCCUAGCAACAGCCAUCUCUUCACCCAGGAUCACUCAAGGACUUUAUCCACUGUCCCAUCCUCAAGUCCCACCUCUGGCGCUCGUACAGUAAGUCAUACAUAAUCCUGUUGGCACUAGGGUGACAUCUGUCAAGCAAAAGCUAGCUUUGGCUUCAGAAUGUCUCAUAGACCAAUGGGCAGGGCAGGGCAGGGAAGACCUUGCGUAUGAUCAGGAUACACAGGGCCAAGCUCAGUCAAGACGGAGUGGCCUUUGUGGCUCAGUCCAGGGGCAAGCAGUCUCUGCCCAGUGAGGGAGACAGAAAACUGGGAGAGAAGGACAACUCGAGAAUCAGAAGAAAGUUCCAGAAUGCAGGAGAGAUGGGUGGAGUGGGGGUGGGUGCAGUUUGAACAGCCUGUGAUCUUAAACACUAAGCCAUCUCUCCAACCACUUGGGUUGUGAUUCUUAAGGCGGACGUCUGUAGGAGACCCUGCCCUAGCUUACUCUUCCAUCCCGGACAUUUCUUCCCUAGACGCCCCCAAAAGCCGUAAUGCCUGUAGUUCGGUGGCUCUGAGGUAUAGAACACCUGCCUUCAUGGGUGACACAUUGGAAAAAAUCUCUGGGUUCAGAUCUUUAGUGCCACUUACAGGCCGUGUGGCUGUGACCCAGUUUCACCACCUCUCUGAUCUGCCUUCUCUUUUCAUAUUCUUCUGGAACCUCCUUCCCUCCUUUCUUCUCUCCCUCACUCCCUUUCUUCCUUGAGACAGGGUGUCCUGUGUAGCCCAGGGCAGCGUUCAACUCACUCCUCCGUAGCGAUCUUAAAUGUCUGAUCUUUCGGCUCCACCUCCGGGGUGCUGGGGUCACAGACAUGCAUCACCACACCUGGGUUCAUGUGGUUCUGGGGACCAAAGCAAGCCCUCUACCAAGAGAUGAGCCUCACUCUGUAGCCUAGGCUGACCUGAAACUCCCAGCAAUCCUGCUGUCUCAGCCUUCACAGGGCUGGAUGGAGGUGCAGUACCAUAUUCAUCCUUACUAGAGAUGUCGGUACAGAUUCGACUGGGCUUUUCUGGAGGUUCCCAUGGUGCCCUUGAAGAAAAUCCGGGCGGGGUUAUUGCCAGGGAGGUGGGACUGUCAGCAUCCCUGUAGGAUGGAGGCCCCAUUCGUGGAACUGAAGGUCAACCCUGGUCUCAGAUCUUGGGAGAGUUAAGUACCCCAAUCACUCAUCUUUUGGCCUAAAUGGCCCUAGGGGCUGCUUAUGAAUCAGGGAGUCAAACCAAUGUCCCAUCUUUAAAAAAAAAAACCACCAAAAACCAAUCAAUUUGCAGAAAUCCAAAUAAAAGCCAUUAGUUGUGGCUUCCCUACAGGAGACUCCUGGGGCUUCUUCCUCACCAGGCUCCCAGGAAAUUGAUUGGCAAUUACUGACACUAAUGGGGGCCAGGGAGGCCUGAUGGUCUCCCUCAUCUCCCCAGCGUUCUCUGGGGACAGGGAUGACAUGUCAAGAUCUGUCAGGCUGAGUCUGUCCAGGGGCAGCUAAGACCCCAGAUCUGGCCAGAGACAGGGCAGCCAGCUGGGGUGGGCCCCCCAGAGACCCUCACCCUCUUACUUAUUUAUGGCUCAGUUUGACUCAUGGUAACUUAAUGGUGUUACUGGGGUCGUGCAGAUGGUGAGUCUUGUGACUGGAGGAUGGUGCAGGUCCAUCGAAGCCUUCAGCACUGCCCUUUGACCUGUAUCUCGGAUCACAUAAAGGAGGCCUCAGUUCCCACAGGAAGUACAGGCCUGAGAGGGAAAAGCAGGCCAGCAGAGGGUAGGGACAAUAGUGGAGCAGAAUAUAGCUGGAAGAGUCAGUGGCUGGAGCCUGUGUGUAUGUGUGUGUGCGCGUGUGCAUGUGUAUGUGUGAUUGAGUAUGUAUGCAUGUGUGUAUGUGUGAGUGUGCAUAUGUGUGAGUGUGCACAUGUGUGAGUGUGUAUAUAUGUGCACGUGUGCAUGUGUACAUGUAUAUGUGUGUACACGUGUGCAUGUGUACAUAUGUGUGUAUGUGUCUGAGUGUAUGUAUAUGUGCAUGUGUAUGUGUGCACAUGUGUGAACGUGUGCAUGUGCACGUGUGUAUGUAUGUAUGUGCAUGUGUGUAUGUGUGUGCAUGUAAGUGUAUGUGUAUCUGUGUAUGUGUGUGAGUGUGUAUAUGUGUGUAUAUGUGCGUGUGUAUAUAUGUGUGCGUGUGUGCAUGUGUGUGUGCUCUCAUGUGCACGCUCAUGUGUGUUCGUUUAUCCAUUCGUUCCUUCCUUCCCUCCAUCCCUUACUCCUCUCCCUUGCUUCUCUCUUUGUAUCUCACUUUCUAACCCUGGCUGACAUGAAAUUAAUUAUACAAGCCAAGCUCUCCUUGAAUCUGUGCCUCUGCCUCCCAAGUGCUGGGAUGACAGGUGUAUACCACCACACCAGGCUUGGAGCUAGAAUUUUGAGGCUGAAUGAAAAGACUUUACAAGACAAGCAGGAAGAGGUACAAACCGGGAGCAGCCAUCUUCUAUUACAGAUGACACCUGUUCUCCGAGGCACAGGAGGAAAAGGCACUGCCUGACAUCUCACAAUUGGGACCAUGGAGGGAAAGCUGGACGCUCCCAUCUCCAUCCAUCCGCCCGCGGUGCCGCUCCGAGCUCCUGGCCCCGCUUCAUUCACAGUCUCUCUGGAAACCCUGAACAACAGCCCGGCAAGCAGAACGGAUUCUGGAGUCUUAGACAGUCUUUGGAGCUACACAUGGUUUCCAGGACUAAGAAACUGCUUCCAAAAUGCCCAACUGCCUUCAGAAUCUUUGAACAGCCCCCAAGGCGUGGGCUGAACUUGAGCAUUGAAGAGGGGGAAAGGAGCCAAGGGGUGCUCAAGCCAGCCUUCCUUGAGGCUCCCCACAUAUGCUGGUGCAUCCAGCUGGGGCCAAGCAGCCAGCCACACCUCAGGUUUACCUGAGGUGAGCCAUAUGAAGACCUCUGAUGGGUAGAGACUCUGAGUCAGGGUCUCAGAGGACACGGUGUGGUCAUGUUGUGACAGAAACCUUGGUAAAAUCACUUCUGUUCUCUGGGCCACAGUCUCUGUUUAUAUAGUAGGGUUUCUGUGGGAGGUUUUGGGGUGUUUGAAGCCAGGAGUCAGGGGGUUCACACUCUGCCUUAGUCGGCCUGGGCUCCAAAGGUAGUGGUCAGGGAAAGAUGCAGUUUGACCCCAGAGAGGUCACACAGGGGGCUACAGUUAGGCCCUUGCCACAGAGCUCCACGCCUGUGGACCCAGGCUGACCUGUGACACAGACUGACCGUUCCACUCUGUGUGAGACUGGGUUUAGCCUUUCUUCCUCCAAGAGUGCCUCUGGGGUACCCCACACAGCUGGCAGCCUUCACAUGCAGCCACAGAGGGCAGCAUCUGCAGCCACCCAGAGCUGUCUCCAUAGUGACAGCCCCAGAGCCAAGCCUGGUGUUUGAAAAAACACUCAUAAAGGAACAACAAAACGU